UUUGGAUCUGUUUUAGGCCUAUGGAGGUGCCUAUGAUGUCAUGAGCUCUAAGCACCUUUGUGGUGAUACCAACUAUGCCUGGCCCACCGCAGAGAUUGCAGUCAUGGGAGCAAAGGUGAGGGCCUCUUGCUUUUCCCUUUCUGGGUCCAAGGACUCGACUCUACCAGCGAGAGCUCAAGGCAUAGCUGGGAAAUGUUGGAGAGAGGCCAGGGCCCCUAGGUUGAGCCAGGACUGAGGUGAAUGGGACCUAGACCUUGGUAAGUCUCCCUCUUGGGGCUCCAGAGAUAGCUCUGCCUCCUGUCCUAUACCCUUUCUUCAGGCCCACGCUGGUGUCUUCAUGCCAAGGUGGGUGCGGCAGGUGAAAGGAAAGUGAGAGGGGUCCAGAGUGGUUUUGAGAUUGUAAGUAAAGGGGGCAAAGGGUUGAGUCAACUGAAGUCACCUUCAGAAGUAUUGGACAUUCUCCCAGCUCCACCUCAGCUUCCAGGGAGGGCCCCAGAGCUACUCUUUUAAGCUCAUAAGAAGCUAAACUGUAGGUCCGACCCUAGUGACGUUGGACAAGGUACUUCCUAUUGCUUGACCUAUUCCUCACUCCUCCCUGCUUUGAAGUAGCUAUUGUGGUCGAAUCAGAUAACUUCCAGGUCCCCUAGAGUUGACUUAUAGGUGCUCUGACUUGAAGGCCAAUCCUUCUAAUUUCCAGUUCAGUCUGGUCGCCUCUGGCCACCGAAUUGUAUACUCAGGUCUUAGGGUACCGAAAAAGGGAAAUAGCACAUUUAAUUCCCCUUGAUACAAGACCAUGGAUUUAAUAAUGGAAAACAGGGCUAACAUCUUUGGCUCAAAGAAAUAUGAUGAGUGCAAAUGGAGAUGGUAGAAUGGGCUCUGGGGAGAGAAGCUACUGGCUUUUGCCUGACUGCCCCUUAUUGGGGCCACAGGGAAGCAUCACAUCCCAUCAUGCAGCCCCUUGUGUCAUGAUGGUCAGCCCCAGGCAGUUCCUCCCUCUAUGCUAUGGCCUUUAGAGAUGGCACUUCCCCUCAGUACACUGAUUUACCAAGAAAUUUGCACCCACACACAGUGAUAAUGAGUUGAAGGAGAUCUGUCCAGGUUGGGACGACCAAAGAUGUUCAUGAACUCCUCUAAUCACAGGGCGCUGUGGAGAUCAUCUUCAAAGGGCAUGAGAAUGUGGAAGCUGCUCAGGCAGAGUACAUCGAGAAGUUUGCCAACCCUUUCCCUGCAGCAGUGCGAGGGUUUGUGGAUGACAUCAUCCAACCUUCUUCCACACGUGCCCGAAUCUGCUGUGACCUGGAUGUCUUGGCCAGCAAGAAGGUACAACGUCCUUGGAGAAAACAUGCAAAUAUUCCAUUGUAAACAAAUCAAAGGAAAAGAAACCAAGAACUGAAUUACUGUCUGCCCAUUCACAUCCCAUUCCUGCCUUUUGCAAUCAUGAAACCUGGGAAUCCAAAUAGUUGGAUAACUUAGAAUAACUAAGUUUAUUAAAUUCUAGAAAGAUC
rnacentral:lncRNA from 1 species